AUGAAGGAUGGUGAAGGUGUCUCUGAAAUGUACUCUAGGCUUGCUCUUAUCACAAAUGAGAUUGCCGGCUUAGGGAGUGAAGAGAUGACCGACAGAUUCAUCAUCAAGAAGAUCCUAAGAGCAUUGGAUGAAAAGUAUGAUACCAUGUGCACAUUGAUUCAAAUGAUGCCCAAUUACAAGAAUCUCAAGCCAACGGAAGUCAUUGGUAGAAUUGUUGCUCAUGAGAUGUCACUCAAGGAUAAGGAGGAACUUCACAACAAGUCAAGUGGUGCUUACAAAGCCUCAUGUGAAGCUCCCACAUCAUCAAGUGAGAAACAAACCUUCAAUGAAGAAUUGAGCUUAAUGGUGAAGAAUUUCAACAAAUUCUACAAGAGUAGAAGCAAAGAAAGAAGCUCUAAGUCAAGGUCCUACAAUGACAAGAGAUCUUCCAGUCGAGAGCGCAACUGCUACAAUUGUGGGAGACCGGACACUAUUCCAAUGAGUGUACGACACCCUACAAAAGAAGAGAAGAUUCUCCAAAAAGAAGAAGUAGAAGAGAAGAAUCACCACCAAGAGAGAGAAGGAGUAGAGAUGAUCGUUAUGAACGAAGACCCUCACGGAGAAGCAAAGAUUCGGAAAGGAAGGACAAGUCAUCAAAGAGCUACACAAAACGAAGACAUCAAGCUCAUGUUGGUGAAUGGGUAUCCGGUUCCGACUCUGAACAUCACUCCGAGAGAAGCUUUCACUCUAACUCCAAACAUACUCAAGAUGAAGGUGUUGCUGGUCUAG
rnacentral:rRNA from 1 species